CAAACAGAAAAAAAGUUCGAAAACCGCCACUGAUAUUAUUCUCUUCGCAUUAUUAUAAUUUAUGCAUGACGUACGUUCGUCACAGUACAACGACAUAGAAUUCGUAUUAUUUAAUUUCGUUACAAAUAAAAAUUAAUAGAUUGCGGCUACGUGUACACGUAUUUUAUUCUAUGGUAAUAAAUAUUAUGACAUGUAAUUCUAUAAAAUUUUUAUUGUGUUAAACGUUUAACUGAAUGCAGCUAAUAUCGAUACGAUUACCCGAACAUAAUUAUAUUAUUAUUUAUAGAGAUAAUUAUAGAUAGAUAGAUAGAUAGUAUAUCUAUUAUAAUAUUUAAUGAUAUUGAAAAAUUACCGUAUUCGAUUACUAUGUAGAAAACGCAAUCAAGCUUACAAAAUUCUCUCGAGGGAAUAUAAUAUUUACUUAUUUCACUCGCGGAAGAAUUAAAAGUAUACGCAAUGGAAAUCAAACAAAAAUCCAUAUUGAUAUGGUUUUCUUUUAGAUUCUGAAUAAAGCAAAGAAGCUUAUGAUUUACAAAGAUGUUUAUUUUUUUGUUCUGCGGACAACUUUUCUACUAGGAAUCUUGCUCCAAUUUUUAUGUGUAACAUCUUUUCUGAAAAGAAAUCUGUGUGAAGAGGUACUUUAAAAAGGUCAUUUUUCAAUUUCCUCAAGAGUUUUCUCAUCAAAUGCGAGAAAAUCUGAGGAAAAAUGGAAAAAUGUACAAAGUAUAUUAGUAAAGUAUCAAGUUUUUUUUUUCUGUGGACAGAUUUUCUACCAACAAUUUUACUCAAAUUUAUAAUGAUAGCAAUGUUUCUAUAAAAAUUCUGACUGGAGAGGUACGUUAGAGAGGUUAUUUUUCAAUCUUCUCCGAAUUUUUUCCUGCAAAUCUGAAAACUGAGGAAAACUUGGGAAGCCCGAGAAAAACCUAGAAAAACCGAAAAAAUCGAUACAACAUUAAACAAAUAUUAUUAGAGAAAAUAUAUAAAGCCUAUUUAAUUAGUUUAGUAUAAUAUAGUAUAUAUAUAUAUAUAUUGUUGUCACUAUCAACUAAACUUCGCUCAGAAUCGUUUUUUCGAAAGCAAUGGAUUAUCGUUGCUUACAGGUAUACAUUAAAUUAAAAAUAACAAUGGCUGCACUCAUACCCAUUAUCCUAGAACGUC